CAGAACGAACGCUGGCGGCGUGCUUAACACAUGCAAGUCGAACGCGAAAGGGACUUCGGUCCUGAGUAAAGUGGCGCACGGGUGAGUAACGCGUAGAUAACCUGUCUUCAUGUCUGGAAUAAUACGCCGAAAGGGGUACUAAUACCGGAUAUUCUUGCUUUUCAUAAGUUAUGCAAGCAAAGGUGGCCUCUGCAUAUGCUACUGCAUGAAGAGGGGUCUGCGUACCAUUAGCUAGUAGGUGGGGUAAUGGCCUACCUAGGCGACGAUGGUUAGCGGGUCUGAGAGGAUGAUCCGCCACACUGGCACUGGAACACGGGCCAGACUCCUACGGGAGGCAGCAGUGAGGAAUAUUGCGCAAUGGGGGAAACCCUGACGCAGCGACGCCGCGUGAGUGAGGAAAGGCCUUCGGGUCGUAAAGCUCUGUCAAGAGGAAAGAAGUGUACAAUGGCUAAUACCUGUUGUAUUUGACGGUACCUCUAAAGGAAGCACCGGCUAACUCCGUGCCAGCAGCAGC
rnacentral:rRNA from 1 species